rnacentral:rRNA from 1 species
AACGAACGCUGGCGGCAUGCCUAACACAUGCAAGUCGAACGGGAUCCGGACUUCGGUUCGGUGAGAGUGGCGGACGGGUGAGUAACGCGUGGGAACCUGCCCAGUGGUGGGGGAUAACUGCGGGAAACUGCAGCUAAUACCGCAUGAGCCCCGAGUGUAACAGCUUGGGGGAAAGAUUUAUCGCCAUUGGAGGGGCCCGCGUUCGAUUAGGUAGUUGGUGAGGUAAUGGCUCACCAAGCCGACGAUCGAUAGCUGGUCUGAGAGGAUGAUCAGCCACACUGGGACUGAGAUACGGCCCAGACUCCUACGGGAGGCAGCAGUGGGGAAUAUUGGACAAUGGGGCAACCCUGAUCCAGCAAUGCCGCGUGAGUGAUGAA